rnacentral:piRNA from 1 species
UGACAGGAAGGCCCAGAACAGGACAAGA